UAGAACUAAAAUUAAUGUUAAUGAUGUAAAUCUGUUAUAAACAAAACAUUGUUUUCAAAUUAUAUUUGUGAUGUGUUUAUACAUCCAUUGUUUGCAAUGAUAUUGUUCAAAUGUGUUAAGAAUAUUUCUAUUUGAAGCAAUCUUUGUCGUCCCUCAUUAGAAAAGGACGUUUCAGAAGUUUGUUUUGACUAAUAUGAGACAGUCAAAUAAAAUGUGUUAUUUAAUUGAUAAAGUGCGCAUUAAGAAAGCUUAUAAAGCAGCAGGGACCGUCGGCGCGAGUGAGAACUCUGGAUGUUCAGUUUAGCGAAAGAGUCAAUGCUCGAGAAAUAAAUCGAAAGCGAUAGGUUAGUAAGUAGGUUAAAUGAAGGCGUCACAGACACAGGCUGUUCUGAUGUUGUUAUCUGACCCAAGCAUUCUAAUAUGCGAAUAUUUUCAUAACAGCAUGAGCCGCUUAAAAUGAAGAAAGUUAUCAACAUAACCGAAUGGUCAGGAGCGCUGCUUUCUUUAAUUUUGGUAUAUCUGCGCAUAUCCUUGUUUCGGUUUCUCCCUUUAAAUGCCGAAUACAUACUAUUGAUAUCUGCUGAUAUAGACCGCUAACUCCUCUCGGCAGGCGCAGAACGCAGUUUGCAGUCGGCUGUAGGCAGUGCGGUGUGUUCAAGUGCAGAUUUUUGGUCCGACGCUUUCGACGCGAGGCGACAACAGGCUUUUGUAGCCGCUAAUUCUUUGAUGUCGGCUUGGUGUGUCCCGGCCUUAAGUAUAGUAAUAUUAAGGCCGGGAUACACUAAUUGUUAGGGUGACCAUAUGCCAUUUUCCCCGGACGCGUCCUGGCCAGGAUUUCUAUAUUGAAACACAUGACCAUUGUGCUAGAUCCUGGUCGCCACGACAAACUGCAUAAUUUGCAGCUGCGCACAUUUCUGCGGUUCGAUGCGCGUGAACUGACAGACGCUUGAAAUCAUCAGCGAAGCCCCGUUGUUUCACACUGAGAAGUGUUGUAUUGGACUUGUGGUCUGUCUGGAGAUGGUGAAGGGACGAUCAGCGCUUCGAGGGACAAAUGCUGUACAAUUGAUUUUAUGAUCUGAGUUACAGUUUUUAUCUGCUGCACCUCACUUUCCAGCUGCUUUGCCAUCAGACCUCCAGAAAACCAAUCCACAACAAGAUCCAGUCUAAUGUCAGAAAACGAAAACAUGAAACACAGCUGUGACAUUAUUUACCCAGAGUACAGCCGUUUGCCAAGGGAUUUUUUCAUGCUGAGAUUUAAUCAUCGAAGGUCAUCAGUAAGCACUGAUUAAUGAAUUAAGAUUGCCUGUAUUUGUAAUAUUUUAUGCAUUUUAUCAUUAUUGCAGUGCUUGAGGAAGUUCAUUGUUUGUAUCAGUGCCUGUUGAGAUUCAUAUUGAGGAAUAUGUAAUCUGUUUAUAUAUAAUAUGUAAAGCAUUGCUCUCAAAGAUGUUUUAAAGUAGCACAUUGCUAUCUAAUGUAAACAUGAUGGAAAUUUACUAUCGGUACAAUUUUAUUUUUUAUUUAUUUAUUGAUUAAACUUUAAAGGUGUCGUGUGCAAAUUAAUUUUUUUAUAGCCUACUUAGUGAUCAAAGCUGUUCGUAUUGAGCAGAAUAGACGACAGCAAAAGAUCCAAGAAUGUGAUGCAAAUGAACAGGAAAACGGUAUGCAUUUUGCAUUUUCAUGUUAAUUAUUUAAUCUUGACAAACCAUGCAAUGCAUUUAUUAAAAAUACUCCAGUCCAUAUCACCAGAUUUAAUAUUAGUCAACUGUUUUAAUCAGAAAUAUCCUGUGGUCAAAUGUAAUUUUCAGUGUGUGUCAGGGUAUGUUCUUGUUAUUUUGUCAUCUUAUACAUGUUUUAGAGCAUUAUUUCAGAAAGAAAUGUAUUUAGUUGUCAUCGAAAACAUUUAUUUAAACUUAUUUAGUGUUGCUUUAACUCAAAGUAUUUUUUUCCAGUAUACAUAACACACAAAAUCUAUAUGGAGUUAGUUUGUCUCUUUAAUGUUUACAUGGCUGUAUAAAAUAUUACCAUAACCUAUCUUUACCCAAUUAAAUUUGCACUGUUAA